GGGCCCGCACAAGCGGUGGAGCAUGUGGUUUAAUUCGAUGAUACGCGAGGAACCUUACCAGGGCUUAAAUGGGAGAUGACAGGGGCAGAGACGCCCUUUUCUUCGGACAUCUUUCAAGGUGCUGCAUGGUUGUCGUCAGCUCGUGCCGUGAGGUGUCAGGUUAAGUCCUAUAACGAGCGCAACCCCUACCGUUAGUUGCCAGCGAUUCAAGUCGGGGACUCUAACGGGACUGCCGGUGCAAACCGUGAGGAAGGUGGGGACGACGUCAAAUCAUCACGGCCCUUACGUCCUGGGCUACACACGUGCUACAAUGGUCGGUACAGAGGGAAGCUACCCCGUAAGGGGAUGCGGAUCUAUAAAACCGAUCUCAGUUCGGAUCGGGGUCUGCAACUCGACCCCGUGAAGCUGGAAUCGCUAGUAAUCG
rnacentral:rRNA from 1 species